rnacentral:RNase_P_RNA from 2 species
UCAGCAAGAUGAGUGAUUGCUCUCUGUAUUUGCAGGGAGAGGAAAGUCCGAACGCCAUCCCGCUAAGCGGGAUAAAAUAAUAGCGGCUAACAGCCGUCCAUCGUAAGAUGCGAGGUGCGAACAGAAACGGCUUNNNNNNNNNNNNNNNNNNNNCUUGGACCGAAAGGUUCAGCAUCCCUUCAUGGGAUAAUUUUACAGCAAUGUAAAAAUGAAACGGCUAAAUCCUUAUUGGGCGCAAGAACAAAGCCCUGCUCAUUGUUUCAUCAUUGAAAAGGGUUAAAAGUAGUUCGCCACUGGUCGCGAGAAUUAUACGCAAAGCGGAAAUUCCCGACCUAGAGCCAAAGAGUAAUUUUUGGCCAAGACAGAUAAUCACUUAAAACAGAAUUCGGCUUACGGUCUUGCUGAGACA